rnacentral:rRNA from 1 species
AUUGAACGCUGGCGGAAUGCUUUACACAUGCAAGUCGAACGGUAGAGGGGGCAACCCCUCGAGAGUGGCGAACGGGUGAGUAAUAUAUCGGAACGUGCCCAGUCGUGGGGGAUAACGUAGCGAAAGUUACGCUAAUACCGCAUACGAUCUAAGGAUGAAAGCGGGGGAUCGCAAGACCUCGCGCGAUUGGAGCGGCCGAUAUCAGAUUAGGUAGUUGGGGGGGUAAAGGCUCACCAAGCCAACGAUCUGUAGCUGGUCUGAGAGGACGACCAGCCAAACGGGAACUGAGACACGGUCCAGACUCCUACGGGAGGCAGCAGUGGGGAAUUUGGGACAAUGGACGCAAGUCUGAUCAGGCCAUUCCGCGUGCAGGAUGAAGGCCCUCGGUUUGUAAACUGCUUUUGUACGGAACGAAAAGGUCUCUCUUAAUAGGGGGGACCCAUGACGGUACCGUAAGAAUAAGCACCGGCUAACUACGUGCCAGCCGCCGCCGUAA